CAGCAGCCGCGGGAAUACGUAGGGUGCGAGCGUUAAUCGGAAUUACUGGGCGUAAAGCGUGCGCAGGCGGUUCGUUAAGACAGAUGUGAAAUCCCCGGGCUUAACCUGGGAACUGCAUUCGUGACUGGCGAGCUAGAGUAUGGCAGAGGGGGGUAGAAUUCCACGUGUAGCAGUGAAAUGCGUAGAGAUGUGGAGGAAUACCGAUGGCGAAGGCAGCCCCCUGGGCCAAUACUGACGCUCAUGCACGAAAGCGUGGGGAGCAAACAGGAUUAGAUACCCCCGUAGUCCCUGUCUCUUAUAC
rnacentral:rRNA from 1 species